GAUGAAGAACGCAGCGAAAUGCGAUAAGUAAUGUGAAUUGCAGAAUUCAGUGAAUCAUCGAAUCUUUGAACGCACAUUGCGCCCCCUGGUAUUCCGGGGGGCAUGCCUGUUCGAGCGUCAUUUCGCCACUCAAGCCUCGCUUGGUAUUGGGCAACGCGGUCCGCCGCGUGCCUCAAAUCGACCGGCUGGGUCUUCUGUCCCCUAAGCGUUGUGGAAACUAUUCGCUAAAGGGUGUUCGGGAGGCUACGCCGUAAAACAACCCCAUUUCUAAGGUUGACCUCGGAUCAGGUAGGGAUACCCGCUGAACUUAAGCAUAUCAAUAAGCGGAGGA
rnacentral:misc_RNA from 1 species